UACGUAGGGUGCGAGCGUUAAUCGGAAUUACUGGGCGUAAAGCGUGCGCAGGCGGUUUUGUAAGACAGGCGUGAAAUCCCCGGGCUUAACCUGGGAACUGCGCUUGUGACUGCAAGGCUAGAGUACGGCAGAGGGGGGUGGAAUUCCACGUGUAGCAGUGAAAUGCGUAGAGAUGUGGAGGAACACCAAUGGCGAAGGCAGCCCCCUGGGUCGAUACUGACGCUCAUGCACGAAAGCGUGGGUAGCAAAC
rnacentral:rRNA from 1 species